GAUGAACGCUGGCGGCGUGCCUAAUACAUGCAAGUCGAGCGAACGGACGAGAAGCUUGCUCCUCUGAGGUUAGCGGCGGACGGGUGAGUAACACGUGGAUAACCUACCUAUAAGACUGGGAUAACUUUGGGAAACCGGAGCUAAUACCGGAUAAUAUUUUGAACCGCAUGGUUCAAGAGUGAAAGACGCUACUGCUGUAACUUAUAGAUGGAUCCGCGCUGCAUUAGUAAGUUGGUAAGGUAACGGCUUACCAAGGCAACGAUGGAUAGCCGACCUGAGAGGGGGGUCGGCCACACUGGAACUGAGAAAGGGCCCAGACUCCUAGGGGGGGAAGCGGUAGGAAAUCUUACGCAAGGGGGGAAAGCCUAACGGUGCAACACGGGGGAAGGGAUGAAGCUCUCCGGAUGGUAAAACUCUGUUGGUCGGAAGAAAGAUAUAUGUAAGUACCUGUGCACAUAAUGACGGUACCUAAUCAGAAAGCCACGGCUAACUACGUG
rnacentral:rRNA from 1 species